rnacentral:lncRNA from 1 species
AGCAAGAGCAUUAAGGGUGUGUUUACAGUGGAGGUAUACUGGACACAGAAAUUGGUGGAGUGGAGACAAAGCUCGUUGUCGUUUCAGAUUCGACACCUCGUGAGCAGAAAAUUGCUCCAUCAUCUGAGAGGAAUGUUUCUUAAACUCUGUAUUUCUCUUCAGUGUGUUAUUGUUCUUGCUAGCAAAUUACUCCUUCUGAUCUCCGUCUGUAUAACAAGUCCAAUCAUCUCGUGUAUUAGCUAUUCGGAAUCAACGGCUCGACCGGAGUUGGACAUCAGGGCUUACGUUAUGCUGCUCGAAGGGGAGGAAAAGCUGUCUAAAGAAACCGUGGAGUAUAUCUUGAACGAGGUCGAUAGCGUCAUUCAAAAAGGCAAGAAGCGCAAACCGGCAAAUUUAUCGAAAUUUCUAAAUAAAUCUUGCAACUUUGAUGGUGUGGCGGGGUUCGACAGUCGUCGAAUUCCGAGCCUGCAUUCUGAAGAAGCCGUCCCGUAUUGCUGGUCUCUACCUGUAGUCACUUUGACUAGCAUCGCACUUGCGCUUCCCAAUGUAGAGAAGCGCAAAUCUGAACAACUAAUGAAAAGUGUCACCGAAGGGAUCUCCUACGUGAAACUUAUCGAUACGAUCUUGGACAAAAAAGACGGUCUCGAAAACGUAAGAACUGCAGCAGAUGUUGUCUGGGUUGGAGUUGAGCUGUACCACAGGUGGCAAGACAAGGACCUUCACGAAACGUCACUCGAAGGCAAAAACGGCGCGGAGAUACUACGACAGCUCGGUGACAGAGCUGAAACGACAGUCGUCGAGUUCGAGAGAGAUGAGAGAGACUACUUGAUGAGGGAACCUCUUAAUUGGCCUGCAAAUGUUAUUGCUGCCAACACAAUGUACAGAAUCAGCAGAACAAUUCUGCUGACUCAGAGCGAAAAAACGGAUGACGAACUGUUUGAGCACUUAUCGGUCACGAUAGCAGAUGUACUAGCGGCAUGUCUUACCAAUUUAGGACACGUAAUAACCGUGACAUGCCGACGUAAUGCAAUUGAGGAGAGGGAGAAAAGCGUGCGUAAAGCGGCGCUUCUUCUCGGUGAAACCGAAGACAUUAUCGCACAUCUCAGGCAACGUGAACUCCCACUCUCGGCCCCCGAUCGAGGAGCUUCCGUUCAAGAAUGGCGAGCAUUAAUCGACACUGCAAACAACAUUAAUCGGGAUUUCAAUUCUAAAACGGAAAUUGAAACAGGUGCUUCAAAAUGCAGAGAAGCGAUCGUAGAUAUAAAAGUCGAAUGAUGAUCGAUGCGUUAUCUGAACCUAUGUUUUUUUUUUCCGUUAUGAAGCGAUUAAUAAAAUCAUUACUCUUGAAAAUCCAAUUCUGAUUAAUACUAAUCAAUCCACCAUAUAGAUUAAGAGGGUCGAUUAUCUAAAAACAAACUGAUACAUAUAAUUGGAUCAAUCUUAUGGAUUGCAUUACCAAUGUCACACUUGUUCAUAAUGGGUCCCAUUUAUUUUUAUAAUUCAUUCAUAAAUUAACAGCACCAUAGCUAAAGAAAAGUAUUAUUAUUUAUUUUCUAGAGCAAGAUCUAACUUAGAUUCUCUGAAGAGUUUAAUACUAUAAAUAUGAAGAGAUCAGGACUGAUUAGUUUAAUUAAAUAACACUCAAUCAUGAUGGCUGACUGCAAUUUUUUUAAAAAUAAAAUAUUAAGAAAGCAUCUUCACUGCAUAAUAUUUUCAAUUUAAGUACCACACCAUGUGAGAAAUAUAUAUAUAUAUAUAUUCAAUUUCGACCCCACAUUUUUUUUCAGUUUCAUACUAAGACCCCAAUAAUUUCUAUAAUUACUCUACACACCACCACAAAUUAAAUUCACUAACGAAAAUGCAUUAUUAUACUUUAAUUUGAGCAAUAAUAGCCUCUGAACAUUUUACAUGUAAAUUUCAUAUCUGAAUCAUAUUGCAGAAAGGUGGUAAUACUCAAACCAUUUCCUCAGAAAGUCAUCAAUGAAUUAUGAAUUAUUCAAAAAUUCUAUGUGGAGUAAUGAUUGACCAGUUCAGAGCAAUAACACAGGCUAAUAUUAAUGUCACUAUCAUCAUCAUAAACAAAAUCAAGAAAUAGCAAAGUAAACGUUACGACUAAAUUGGGAUGAAUGAUUCAGAUACGCAAUAACAAGAAACUUCGGGAUCAGCUCAUCGUAUCUUGAAUGAGUUAAAGAGUUAUCGAUAUCAUCUACGGUAAUCAUCAUUAUUAAGAAGAAUAUUUUGGGGAAGAUAAUCGGACCUGGUUCGUGCACGGACUUGGUUCGAUGGAUGCCACAGGAUUUGAUCUUGAUACCUACAAGAACGACACGAGAAUUCAAGAGCAACUUGUAGCACCAAUGCCAUGGAUAGGCAUGUACAUUGCUGCAGCUUCUCUGGUAUGUUCGCUUGCAAUGGCAGUCGAUGCCUUUGAUGGAUUCAGAAGAAAACGGUUUUGGUUCCCGUGUAAGUAUUUCUCCCUCAAUGCUACUUCCUUGACAUUGUUAGCUGUGGCAAUGAAGUUGCCUGUGGAUCUCACCACAGCCAUGUUUGCAAAUAUUGAUUGGCUUGCUAAGCUAAGCAGCCUGAUUUUCAUGUCAACGUCGAUCGGAAAUUUCAUGUCGUCUUUAGGGUCCAUGAACGAUAUGGAGGUACUGACGAAUUUGGCGGCUUUGGGGAUUCUGAUAAUCACCGUCACUGUUAAUGUCUGGAUUCAACUUUUUCAGCUGGAGCCUCUUAUGGAACCUGAGGCUAUGUUGGGUGAAUUGUUAUUGGCUACUGUAUACAUGUUCCUCUUGCUAGUCUCACUAGUGUCUUCUGCUGUCACGAUUCCAACGACGAAAAGAUUCAUGGAGUCAAAGUACAAGGAAAUGCAAAAAGUAGCUACGAGGGGAGAGCAGGAAGCAGCUAUACAACAUUGGUUGAUGGCAGAAACCGGCAGCCCUCAGUUUGUGAUUGCGCGUUCUGUCGUUUGCACUUUUGCGAGUGCCGUUUGUAUGGUGGCUGCCCUAACGUUAAUAGAAGCUUAUAUUCGAGCUAUUAUUCUGUGCAAAGGUGUGAAAAGCUUCUGGGAAGCUGAAUCUGUGUAUGGAUGGUCAACUAAGUGGAUUCUUUUCGUUCAGUCUUUUGGGGUGGCAGUUGGGACAAUUACUCCUAUAUCCAGAUGGUUUUUUGCUGUCGGCAUCAGAUGCUCGGAAAAUCGUCGUAAAAGCUUCAAAAGGGAAUUGAAGAUCGAGAGUUAUUGGAUCCAAAGGCUCGUGGACUGGAGAGACAGCUACUCGAGUUCGCAAAUUCGACACCACAAGUGCAGAAAGUAUCUUCACUGUGCAAAAAGUGUGAUUCUGAAUUUCUUUAUCGGAGUGCAGAUUAUACUUGUUCGAAUCAGCAGGCUUCAUCUCCGUGUCUCUGCUUCACUUAUGAGUCCGCUUUUCUCAUGCUUCAGUCUCGUUAAUAAGUCUGAAAAUUUAUCCAAAGUUUGGAGCUCGAACAAUCAGAACGGACCGGAAUUAGGCGAUGGAAAGGAGAUAGAUCUGAGCCGUUACGUUUUUCUUCUAGAAGGUGAGUCUGAGCUGCCCCGUAAAACCAUCAUGAACAUCUACCACCGGGCAGAUAAAGCGAUGCAGAGAGGCGGAAAACUGCAACCCAAAAAUCUUGUAAACCUUCUACAAAACUCGAACGACUUCAAAGGGGUAAGAGACUUCGACAGCAGCUUAAUUCCGAGCCUACAUUUUCAAGAACCUCCAAACUGUUGGAGUCUACCUGUGGUAACACUCGCAAGCAUCGCAGUUUCACUUCCGAACGUUGCAAAUCACAAGGCUAAGCAGUUGGUGCAAAGCGUGAGCGAAGGGCUUUCCCUGGUGAAGCUAAUAGAUAACACCCUCGAUACGAAUGGAGAACUAUUAAGCGUACAAAAUGCAGCGGCUACGAUUUGGCUAGGCGUUGAACUUUUUUGUAAGUGGCAAGAUAAAGAUCUUCGAGAAGCAUCUCUUAAAGGGAAAAACUCGAAGGAAGUGUUACACGAGCUCUCGGGUAAAGCCGAGCUGAUAGUUUUGGAUUUCAAGAGAGAUGUGAAUGAUUUGUUUAUGGAAAACCCUGUGAAUUGGCCUGCUAAGGUCAUUGCUGCUAAUUCAAUGUACAGGAUCAGUCGAACGAUUUGCGAUGGCUUCGAUUACAAAACUGACGAGGCGUUGUUUGAUCGGCUAACUGUCGUGAUUGCGGAUAUAUUUGCAGCAUGUUUUACCAAUCUAGCUCGCGUGAUAACCGGAAAGUAUCACCGUAAUGCUGUUGAAGAAAGGGAGAAAAGUGUUGGUGAAGCACUUCACCUUUUGGGGAAAACGAGACGGAUUAUCGAGCUUCUCCAGCAACACGAAGUGCCGUUUCUGGAUCGUGAUAGAGCAGCAUGCAUCGAAGAUUGGAGGGCUCUGUUUCUGCAAGAUAUAGAAAAUCCACUCGAUCAGUGAUUUAAGACAACAGCAGCCUCCGAAUCCAUGAUUAUUGAUGUAAUGUUAAGUACUUUGUACAGAAAAGCCGUUGAGCUAAGAUUGUACGAGUGCUGUAAUUAGUUAAAUUCUUGUGCAUUUUGAAUAAACGAAAAUUGGGACAUGCACACUUAUGCCAUCAGCUAAGCCAGCACGUGGUCAAUGGUUCGGUUAAUUGAGUCAACUUUGAUAGUAAAAUGGUAAAUGGUGUUACACUUUUCGACACAGAUGCAAGACUUUCCAUAACAAGUAUAUAUCAACAACCGCAUAAAAUAUAUAUUCUUGACAAAUAUGAAUUCGAAGAACAGACAACAAGAUUAUCAUCAUUUCAGACAGUUAGGGAAAGGAAAUGCAGUAUAAUAUUCAGACAAGACAAACACAAAAACACUACAGUGGAGCUUUGUGAACAUAUAGUAAGGGGAGAAUGUGCACCGAUAAAUUGAGAGUACUGAUCAAGAAGUAUUGGGUGAUGGCAGAAACCAGCAGCCCUCAGUUUGUGAUAGUUCGUUCGGUGACGUGCACUACAUCAGGAGUCGUGUGCAUGAUCGUAGCUCUCGUUUUAUUGGAAGCUGAGUUACGAAUGUCGAUGCAGGUCAAUAUCCUCGAUCAGUCGAUUUCGAGCUAUGCUUGGUCGACGAAAUGGAUUCUGAUUUCGCAGACUAUUGGAGUGAUAGUCGGGACCGUUGCACCAGCAUCCAGAUGGUUCAAUGCCGUAAAAUGUAGAUCGAAAAUCGAGGGAAGCAAGAGCAUUAAGGGUGGGUUUACAGUGGAGGGAUACUGGACUCAGAAGAUGGUGGAGUGGAGACAAAGCUCGUUGUCGUUUCAGAUUCGACACCUCGUGAGCAGAAAAUUGCUCCAUCACCUGAGAGGAAUGUUUCUUAAACUCUGUAUUUCUCUUCAGUGUGUUAUUGUUCUUGCUAGCAAAUUACUCCUUCUGAUCUCUGUAUAUAUAACAAGUCCAAUCAUCUCGUGUAUUAGCUAUGUAAGAAGGUUGAAGAGACAGACGGGAUUAUGUCACUCUGUUUCGGAACCGACCGCUCAAGUGGAGUUGGACAUCGGGCCUUACGUUAUGCUGCUCGAAGGGGAGCAAAAGCUGUCUGAAGAAACUGUGGAGUAUAUCUUAAACGAGGUCGAUAGUGUCAUUCAAAAAGGCAAGAAGCGCAAACCGGCAAAUUUAUCGAAAUUUCUAAAUAAGUCUUGCAACUUCAAUGGGGUGGCGGAGUUCGACAGUCAUCAAAUUCCGAGCCUGCAUCCUGAAGAGGUCGCCCCUUACUGCUGGUCUCUACCCAUAGUCACUUUGACUAGCAUCGCACUUGCGCUUCCCAAUGUAGAGAAGCGCAAAUCUGAACAACUAAUGAAAAGUGUGACCGAGGGAAUCUCGUACGUGAAGCUUAUCGAUACGAUCUUGGACAAAAAAGACGGUCUCGAAAACAUAAGAACUGCAGCAGAUGUUGUCUGGGUGGGAGUUGAGCUGUACCACAGGUGGCAAGACAAGGACCUUCAAGACACGUCACUCGAAGGCAAAAACGGCGCGGAGAUACUACGACAGCUCGGUGACAGAGCUGAAACGACAGUCGUCGAGUUCGAGAGAGAUGAGAGAGACUACUUGAUGAGGGAGCCUCUUAACUGGCCUGCAAAUGUUAUUGCUGCCAACUCAAUGUACAGAAUCAGCAGAACAAUUCUGCUGACUCAGAGCGAAAAAACGGAUGAUGAACUGUUCGAGCAGUUAUCGGUCACGAUAGCAGACGUACUAGCGGCAUGUCUUACCAAUUUAGGACACGUAAUAACUGUGACAUGCCGACGUAAUGCGAUUGAGGAGAGGGAGAAAAGUGUGCGGAAAGCGGCUCUCCUUCUCGGUGAAACUGAAGACAUUAUCGCACAUCUCAGGCAGCGCGAACUGCCACUCUCGGCCCCCGAUCAAGGAGCUUCCGUUCAAGAAUGGCGAGCAUUAAUCGACACUGCAAACAACAUUAAUCGGGAUUUCAGUUCUAAAAUGCAGAGAAGAGAUCGUUGAUAUAAAAGUCGAAUGAUGAUUGAUACAUUAUCUGAAUAUGUUUUUUCCGUUAUGAAGCGAUUAAUAAAAUCAUUGCUCUUGAUAAUCUAAAUCUGAUUAACACAAUCAAUCCACCAUAUAGAUUACGAGGGUCCAUUAUCUAAAACCAACCGAUACAUAUACGAAUGUCACACUUGUUCAUUCAUAACUAACGAAAACUAAUAUUAUUUAUUUUCUAGAGCAGGAUCUAAAUUAGAUUCUCUCAAGUGUUUAAAAGUCUUAUCUGUAAUGUUAUUAUAAAUACAAAGAGAUUAGGUGUGAUUACCAGCCGACCAAGUGGGGAAUAAAGCUGUAGUAAUUAUUUAAACAACAUUAAUCAAGAAUGAUUAGUUUAAUUAAAUAACACUCAGUCAUGAUGGCUGACUGCAAUUUUUUAAAGUAAAAUAUUAAGAAAGCAUCUUCACCGCAUAAUAUUUUCAAUUUUGCCCUAAUUUCCGCUAUAGUGUAGAGCGAUGCAGACAGUCAUAAGAAUGAUUACCAUUUACAACACCAGUAUACAUAAUAUAUCCAAUAAGAAUUAAAUACACCUAAACAAAUCUUAAAUCCUACGUUUCUUUUUCACUUCUAGUGGUGUUUUGAACUUUUAAUAUUUUUUUAAAUGUUAAUUUCAUACUAGAAUAAAAUUUAUUUGCUUCGGAUGUAAUUUGUGGAAUGAUAAUUCGGUUUAGAACUUGUGAAUUAUAUAUAAUCUGUAAAUAGGAAUAUGUAAUUCGCGAUAAGUAUAUAAGUUAAAUGUUAUAAUAUAUUUUAGAAAUUAUAGAUGUAUCCCUAAAUUUUUAAUAUUUACACGUUUCUCCCACUAUUCCCGUAUCCAACUUUUUGAAUCCGGUAUCCGUUUCUCUGUUUCGUUGUAUCCGUGUUCCCUUGUUCGUGCUACAUAGAUCGUGGGAGUAAAGGAAAUCAUACUUACAUGCACAACACGUAAAAUUUUGUGGGUUCAAAUUUCGACCCCACAUUUUUUUUCAGUUUCAUACUAAGACCCCCAAUAGUUUCUAUAAUUACUUUACAGACCACCAAGAAUUUCCUCAGAAAGUCAUCAAUCAAUUAUUCAACUAUGUGUGGAAGUAAUGGUUGACAACUUCAGAGCAAUAAACAUGCCAUUUAUGCAACUAUCAUCAUCAUAAACAAAAUCAAGAAAACAGCAAAGUAAACUAUACUCAAUUCAUAUCUUGAACGAGUCAGAGUUAUCGACAUCGAAAAAUCGGAGAAGGUACUUAGAUUGGACAGGAUUUUUGCAGGGAUUGAUUCUGAUGGAUACGAGAAUUCAAGAACAACUUGAAGCACCGAUGCCGUGGAUAGGCAUGUACAUAGCUGCAGCUUCUCUCGUCUGUUCGCUUGCAAUGGCAGCCGAUGCAUUUAACGGAUUCCGAAGCAAACGGAUGUGGUUCCCGUGUAAGUACUUCUCCCUCAGCGCCACUUCCUUGACACUGUUAGCUGUGUCAAUGAAGUUUUCAGUCGACAUCACUUCCACCAUUUUUACCAAUAUCGACUGGCUUGUUAAGGUGAGCAGCUUGAUUUUCAUGACAGUAUCGACUGGAAAUUUCGUAUCUUCAUUAGGGUGCAUGAACGAUAAGGAGAUGCUGACGAACGUCGUGGCUCUGGGGAUUCUGGUGAUCACGAUUGUUGUUAACGUGUGGAUUCAACUCUUCCAACUGAAGCCUUUUCUUCCUCCGAUUUUUAUGGUCAGCGAAAUGCUGUUCGCUACUGUUUUCAUGCUCGUUUUGCUGGUUGCGUUAGUGUCUUGUGCUAUCACGAUUCCAACGACCAAAAGAUGCGUCGAAUCGAGGUACAAGGAGACGCAAAAACUGGACCAGAGAGAAGAACAAGCGAUAUUCAACAUCGAUGAACAACGAGAAGCAGCUAUAAGACAUUGGUUGAUGGCAGAAACUGGCAGCCCUCAGUUUGUGAUUGCGCGUUCGGCCGUUUGCACUUUGGCGAGCGCGAUUUCUAUGGUGGCUGCCUUAACAUUAGUAGAAGCUUAU